AAGAUGUCUCGGGAAGUGUGCUGUCUCCCCGGGGCUAAGAUCCAAGAUGUAACUGAACGACUGCAAGGAAUCAUAAAACCCACUGACAAAUACCCCUUCCUCUUGGUUCAUGUGGGAACCAAUGACACUGCAAGCAAUAGCCUCCAGAAGAUCAAAAGAGACUACGAGGCUCUGGGCAGGAAAUUGAAGCAAUUAAAUGCACAAAUUGUGAUCUCAUCUGUCCUCCCAGUGAACGACGUGGUCCAGGGAGAGAGGGGAAAAUAGUGGAAGUGAACAGCUGGCUUCGCAAAUGGUGUAAACAGGAACGGUUUGGAUUCUUAGAUCACGGACUGCAGUUUCUUGAAGAUGGACUUCUGGCAAGCGAUGGGCUGCACCUCACAACGGUUGGGAGAAAUGUUUUUGCCAAAAAUCUCAGAAACCUCAUCAGGAGGGCUUUAAACUGACUAAUGUGGGGGAGGGAGACAGUGCUCCUGAAGGUAGGAGUCUAUCAAUUGAUGAAGAUGAUCAUCCAAAUGUCAUAGACCAAAUGGAGCAAACAGCACACAGACCUAGUGGUGGGAGGAAAAAUCCUUAAAUAAGAGUCACGGGGAAUGAUUAAUGGACUUCAAUGUCUGUACACUAAUGCGCAAAGCAUGGGAAAUAAACAAGAUGAGCUUGAGCUCUUGGUACAGCAAACUAAAUAUGACAUAAUAGGCAUCACUGAAACCUGGUGGGAUAAGUCCCACGAUUGGAAUGUAAUAAUGGGGGGAUACAAUCUAUUUCAGAGAAACAGACCAGACAAGAAAGGAGGAGGAGUGGCGUUAUAUGUCAGGGAUGUGUAUACCUGUGAAGAGAUCCAAGAUUUAGAACCUCAAAACCAAAGUGAGAGCAUUUGGGUCAAAAUUAAGGGAGAGAAGAAUAACAGUGACCUCAUUGUGGGAGUUUACUACAGAUCCCCAAGCCAAACGGAGGACAUAGAUGAUGCCUUCCUGGAACAGAUGGCCAAGCAUGCAAAAGGAAGGGAGAUAGUAGUAAUGGGGGACUUCAAUUACCCGGAUAUUUGUUGGAUGUCAAACUCAGCCAAGAGCAUAAGGUCAAACAGAUUCCUCACUGGCCUUGCAGACAACUUCAUUGUCCAGAAAGUGGGAGAAGCAACAAGAGGAACAGCCAUUUUAGAUCUGGUCCUAACCAAUGUUGAUCACCUGGUUAGUGGGGUAGAAGUGGAAGGAUCAUUAGGCGCAAGUGAUCAUGCUCUUCUGAAGUUUACUAUACAGCGGAAAGGAGCAGCCAAGCAUACUAGGACUCAAUUUCUUGACUUUAAGAAAGCUGACUUCAUAAAACUUAGGGAAGUGCUGGGUGAGAUCCCAUGGACAGUAAUACUAAAAGGAAAGGGAGUUCAUGAUGGCUGGGAGUUUGUUAAGAGGGAGAUACUAAAAGCACAACGUCAGGCAAUACCAAUGAGACGGAAACAUGGAAGGUGCCUAAAGAAGCCAGGGUGGCUAUCUAAAGAACUUUUAACUGAGUUAAGAUUAAAAAAGGAUGUGUAC